AGAGUUUGAUCCUGGCUCAGGAUGAACGCUAGCGGGAGGCCUAAUACAUGCAAGUCGAGCGGUAGAGUCCUUCGGGACUUGAGAGCGGCGCACGGGUGAGUAACGCGUACAUGACCUGCCUUUAAGACCGGGAUAGCCCUGGGAAACUGGGAUUAAUACCGGAUGUGAUAAUAUGUAUAGAGAUAUAUUAUUAAAGUUGAGGCGCUUAGAGAUGAGUGUGCGUUUGAUUAGCUAGUUGGUAGGGUAACGGCCUACCAAGGCGACGAUCAGUAGGGGGCGUGAGAGCGUGGCCCCCCACACGGGUACUGAGACACGGACCCGACUCCUACGGGAGGCAGCAGUAAGGAAUAUUGGUCAAUGGACGAAAGUCUGAACCAGCCAUCCCGCGUGCAGGAUGAAGGUCCUAUGGAUUGUAAACUGCUUUUAGCAGAGAAGAAAAGCAUUCAUUUAUGAGUGUCUGACGGUAUCUGCGGAAUAAGCACCGGCUAACUCCGUGCCAGCAGCCGCGGUAAUACGGAGGGUGCAAGCGUUAUCCGGAAUCACUGGGUUUAAAGGGUGCGUAGGCGGAAUAUUAAGUCAGUGGUGAAAGCCUGUCGCUUAACGAUAGAACUGCCAUUGAUACUGAUAUUCUUG
rnacentral:rRNA from 1 species